UAAAGAUCCCAGCCACCGAAGAAAGGCAAAACCGCUCCGCGUGGGAUGCCCGGAGUGGCAUCGAGCCUUGUUCCAGUCCGAAACGGCUCCCGCUACUCUAAGCUGGCUGAAGGGAUGCGAGUAUUCUCCUCCUGUCCAACCGGGCUGCGUCCUGACACCGAGUGGACUCCGCCUCAUGAGUGGGAGCAUCUGCGGAAGGCAUCUGGCCACACCCUGAUCCUCGCCGGUCCCUCUCCCGGCAAUGCAAGCCCAGGUGGUUAGACUCAGAAUGGACUGUGAGCUUUCAAAAAGGAGAAAGAUGGAAGCCACCAAGUAUGCUGCCAGCUGAAUGAAUUGAUGCCCUAUGGCUUGUACAAAAUCGAGCAGAUUAUCUUCUCAUGUUACUCUCAUGUUGUGAAAUAUGUCGACGACCUGCUUACCUUACUUCUUUAAUCUAGGUUCUCCUUGGAAGUAGCACUUGGAACAAGACGUAGAUAACUUCUACUGGGGAAUGAGAUCUUAGGAGCGGGAAAGAAAGACAGAGGGGCUGAGUCUGAACACGUGAAAGAGAAUCCAAGGAAAGCGGGGAAGCAUUGUCAAGAGCUCAUUAGCUGUUAGACCAAAGCAUUACACACACACACAUACACACACACACACACACACAGAGAGAGAGAGAGAGAGAGAGAGAGAGAGAGAGAGAGAGAGAGAGAGAAGCAUUUUUCUUCCCUAUCAGCACCCAUCUCUGUGUGAGGGUUUUUCCCUUCACAUCCCAAUUCUGCUCUCCCCGUAAGCUGUGAGGGAACCUUGUCACAUCAGAGAAGCCUCGGGUAAGGAGGCUGGAUGCUUGGAAUAGUGCUUGAAGCACUGUUAACAGAGAGUAGGGUCCAGUCUUCCAAAGUCAUGACCCAAAUCCAAAGUUGAAAAGACCUGAGCAGUGUAUAAGCAGCCUCUUAGAGCCUGCAUAGUACAUUUUUAGGCCUGAAUAAAUCUAUUUGCACUUCUUUUUAUAAUCAUACUUACGUAGAUAAGGUUGGCAGGAGGAAGAUUAAAUAUAUGAGGUGUAUGUUUAUAACAGUUUUAACCUCAAGUCAUGUUUAUUUAUAAGAGAAAAUGACAGCGGAAUUUGGAAAAUUAAGAAGUGAUUCUUGUCAGUUAGUGGUGGCACAAACCUUUAAUACAGCACUUGGGAGACAGAGAUAGGCAGAUCUGUUGACAUUGAGGACAGCCCAGUCUACAGAGUAAGUACGGGGACAACCAGCCACAAAACCACCUAGAGAAAUCUUAUCCUGAAAGCUUAAAAAAACACAAAGGCUGAUUCUACUAGAAAUGUUUGAGCAAUUGGGAGUGUCAGUUAUCUGGUCUCAUGUAGUCUCAUGAAAGACCAUGAACAGUUACUUUGAGGGUAGGGCGGAAGAAAGAAAACUUUUUCUCAUAUGAGGUUUAUAAAUUAUCACCACAGGCUUCCCCUACGAACGAGACUAUCUCCUGUUCUCAUGAUGCACUAGUGACAGAAAACAUAUGACUAAUGGAGAGAAACUGGUAGAUACACAAGAAAAAAACAUGGAAUAAUUUCCAUCUUAUAAAGGAUCAGCAUUAACAUUUAUCAGAAUAUGGUGUGGAGAGUCGUUCAACUCAGUACAUGUUGAGUUCUAUAGAGUACAUGAUACUGUCCUAUGCCAGUGAGCAAGUCAUAAUGUAAAACAAUACAUCCAAAUCCUUAGGAAUGUGUGUCUUUGUAGGGUGCACCCCAGAAUAUUUACACACUUACAUCACAAACUGGAUCACAAACCACAUCUCAGCAAAUUUCAAAAGACUGAAACCAUAUUUAAUAUGAAUAAAACUGAAAAUCAAGCAUA